rnacentral:rRNA from 1 species
GCAGGCGCGAAAACUCUACAAUGCGCGAAAGCGUGAUAGGGGGAGUCUGAGUGGCGCACUUCGGUGUGCCUUUUGCCAAGUCUAAAUCGCUUGGCGAAUAAGUGCUGGGUAAGACCGGUGGCAGCCGCCACGGUAAUACCGGCGGCACAAGUGGUGUCCACGAUUAUUGGGCUUAAAGGGCCAGUAGCCGGUUGAAACCGUCCCAAGUGAAAUGUCAACGCUCAACGUUGACGCUGGCUUGGGAUACCUUUCGACUAGGGAGCGGGAGAGGUAUGGGGUACUUAUGGGGUAGGGGUAAAAUCCUGUAAUCCUAUAAGGACCACCGGUGGCGAAGGCGCCAUACCAGAACGCAUCCGACGGUGAGUGGCUAAGGCUAGGAGAACGAAUCGGAUUAGAUACCCCCGUAGUCC